CCUAGUUUCAUUCUACGAUCAACCAUAUUUUCUCUUGUCUAUAGCAGAAUGACGCCAGUUGGGUAGGCGGUGAUGAAACCGUCAAUGAAGGAUUCGUUUGUAAACGAAGUAAAACACAGACGAUAUUGGGAAUCGCAAUAUGGAAUGAAGUGUUAUCACAGCCUGAUGGUAAAGACGAGAUGGAAAAGUUACCCAGUACUUUGAUAACAAGGAAGAAAGAUGACAAAAUGAGAAUAGACCCUGAUGCUCUAGACCUGAUAUCGGUGAUCGCCCCUGUCAAUCAUAUCAAUAGCUGGACGAAUGAGAACUGGGAAUCGUUUUUACUCAAUUUCAUUCUAAGAUAUCACCGAGCUAUGAUGCUGUCUGUAUUUCUUAUGGACACUCAAGAACUCUUCGAUCAAUCAACGCCAGAAGAUGUUAAUAUUUCGCUGAUCACGUUGAGCACACGGAUUAUUUCUGUGUAAAUUUUCAAUUGCCUAAGACUAAGUAAUUUGGACAUCCACAAUAUGACGUAU